CAGCAGCCGCGGUAAUACGAAGGGUGCAAGCGUUACUCGGAAUUACUGGGCGUAAAGCGUGCGUAGGUGGUGGUUUAAGUCCGUUGUGAAAGCCCUGGGCUCAACCUGGGAAUUGCAGUGGAUACUGGGUCACUAGAGUGUGGUAGAGGAUAGUGGAAUUUCCGGUGUAGCAGUGAAAUGCGUAGAGAUCGGAAGGAACAUCUGUGGCGAAGGCGACUAUCUGGGCCAACACUGACACUGAGGCACGAAAGCGUGGGGAGCAAACAGGAUUAGAUACCCCUGUAGUCCCUGUCUCUUAUCC
rnacentral:rRNA from 1 species